CAAAAUUAAUUACGCAGACCAUUACUAACAUUUCCUUUCUAUUGCAGUUUAACAAAACUUUCAUUCACAUUGUGACGUCACAUAAUUUAGUUGUAUUCAACUCGACACAUUGUGCAAUUCAGCAUUUGAGGAUCGCGACGUCAUCAAGAAUCUUGGAUUUUAAGAAACGUCGAAAGCCAGCUAUUGAAGACUGAUGAACAACUCUGUUCUACUUGAGAGCCUUGUAUUUGCUGAGGAACAGAAAAUAUGUUUCGGUGUCUCUGGAGGAUUGAUUCCUCAUCUAUUUCUCCUCAUAAUGAUCUUCAAGAGGAAACUGAAGCCACUGCCUGAAUAUAACAUAUCAGAAAAACACACAGUGACAGGAAACGAACUACCAACAGUCAGUAAGAAAUGUCAAAGAGAAUAUAACAUUCCAGGUCCGGGAGAUAGGUGUGGCUCGCCUACAUCGGUUGAAGAGCCAUCAAACAGAUGUGGUACUAACUGUGUCCAUACGUGUGCUAUAUUAGUUCUAAUCAUUGUCGAUGCAGUAGAUGUCUGUGAAGACGUGUUCAUGGUUGUCCAUUACAUGAACACUAAGAGAACGAUAUGCGCACUGCUCUAUAUGUCAUCCAUCCUUGUGUCAACUGUAACAUAGUAUCUAGUGAUGUUCUAUCAUCUAUGGUCCCGCCUGAGUCCUUCCAAAAAGCGCACUCGUCUGGCUCUUUUGCUCUUAGUGUUUUGUCCAUUUCUAAAAAGUUGCAUUUUGGGUUGGACUCUACUUAUGGGUAAGAAAAGCUGGAGAAAAAGGUGGUACCUACAAUCUUUGUCUUUUCUUUGGCUUAUUGAGGCAGCGUUAGAAGGGACCCCGCAGAUGGUACUCCAAUGGUAUCUAAAGAAUAAACAUGAAACAUUAUACAUUAAUCUCUGCAAUACAGACUGGUCCUUGAUCAUCAAUUUCAUAUCAACGUCUCUGGGUCUGUGCUACGCCACGAAAGAUUUCGAUCACGAGGACCACAAAGCUUCAAUGUCAAGAACCCUAGACAUAAACUUAUGUAGGAAUAUAUGUAUACCUUUCUUACGAAAAAUAUUCUAUAUCUUGUCUUUAUACCUGGCAAGGUCUCUCGAGAUAUUCAUCCGGGUCGUUAUGUUUGGCACUUUCGCAUCCGUCAUUGGUUUGCAAACCUUGAUGUAUAUCAUUGGAGGGAAUUUAUUUGUCUUGAGUAUCAUUUCUUUUAUUUGUUUCCAAAAACUUCACCAUAAGAACUUGAUAUACAACAGUCAUAUAUAGAAACCUAUAUUGAAAUCUAGUCUCUUAUUGGGCAUAUUUGUUAACAUAUCAUUUUGUCAUUCUUGGGCGUUUUGCCAAAUAUGGCCUAGAAAGGUUGUGUAUAUAGCGUAUUACAUUUUUUUCUACAUGACCACUAUUCUGCUUGCCAUUACAUCCCAUAUAUUUUCCGGUUACGUGGACGACUUCUCAAUAACAGCAUAUUCUGUUAUACUUGUUCAUUUGAUGUGUUUCAUUAUGUGCAUUGUUUCUCGGGAAUGUAAAAGAAAACAGCUGCUGCAAAGAUAGAUACGUAAGAUAAAUAGCUCGUACAAUGGCAGCAAUGGAUGACUGUGUUUGUAUAAAUGUCAUAAAACAGUGUCGCUACAUUAUUGUUUAUUCGUUUUCUUUAAGAUUGCACUGAGUUGUCAUCAAUAAACAUAUCAGCAUAAAGUGACCAAAG